rnacentral:rRNA from 1 species
UACGUAGGGUCCGAGCGUUGUCCGGAAUUACUGGGCGUAAAGAGCUCGUAGGUGGUUUGUCGCGUUGUUCGUGAAAACUCACAGCUCAACUGUGGGCGUGCGGGCGAUACGGGCAGACUGGAGUACUGCAGGGGAGACUGGAAUUCCUGGUGUAGCGGUGGAAUGCGCAGAUAGUCAGGAGGAACACCGGUGGCGAAGGCGGGUC